CGGACAGUAAGGUUGGUUGUUCUUUUUGGCUAUUGUGAAUGAAGCUCCUGUGAGCGUUCGUGUACAAGUCUUUGUAUGAACGGAACCCAUCUGCUUGUCAUUUUGAGAACUUCACUGUCUACCCCAAGCGUAAGAGGAGCUUCCUGCAGAGUCCUUCAUGCCAUACUGGGGCUUCCAAUCCGAUGCGGGUUUUGACUGGCACCCCAGGCCUUAGGGGCGACUGGCCGAGACCUGUGUGUCCUGGUUGUCUGCCAGCCCCUCCUGUCCCCACUCUGUCAAGAGACGUCCUCUCCCGGUCCCUGAUUGGCACAGCACUCUGGCAGAAAUGCCCUCAGCGUGAGCUGAGACAACACCUGCAUAAGACCAAAGAUUUGUCUUUAUACCACUUUCACAUACAAAUCUUUAAAAAUCUGCCUUCUCAGAAAUGGAACCUAAACAGCUAGCAAUCACACACAGGUACCUGGAAUUCUCUAAUGCAGGUUGUGACUGGGGGCUCACAACAGGGCACUUGUCCCAUUUGGGCCGUCUCCUCUGUUCUUUGAACCCUAAAAUAAAGUAUGGUUCAUUCAAUGGGA